GGAAGGCAGCAGGCGCGCAAAUUACCCACUCCCGGCACGGGGAGGUAGUGACGAAAAAUAACGAUACGGGACUCAUCCGAGGCCCCGUAAUCGGAAUGAGUACACUCUAAACCCUUUAACGAGGAUCAAUUGGAGGGCAAGUCUGGUGCCAGCAGCCGCGGUAAUUCCAGCUCCAAUAGCGUAUAUUAAAGUUGUUGCGGUUAAAAAGCUCGUAGUCGAAUCUGUGUCCCGCGCCGCCGGUUCAUCGCUCGCGGUGUUUAACUGGCGUGUCCGCGGGACGUCCUGCCGGUGGGCUCAGCCCCGCGAGGGGCGGCCCAACUUCAAAUCCCACCGCGGUGCUCUUCACUGAGUGUCGAGGUGGGCCGGCACGUUUACUUUGAACAAAUUAGAGUGCUUAAAGCAGGCUAAAACUUCGCCUGAAUACUGUGUGCAUGGAAUAAUGGAAUAGGACCUCGGUUCUAUUUUGUUGGUUUUCGGAACCCCGAGGUAAUGAUUAAUAGGAACGGAUGGGGGCAUUCGUAUUGCGACGUUAGAGGUGAAAUUCUUGGAUCGUCGCAAGACGGACAGAAGCGAAAGCAUUUGCCAAAAACGCUUUCAUUGAUCAAGAACGAAAGUUAGAGGUUCGAAGGCGAUCAGAUACCGCCCUAGUUCUAACCAUAAACGAUGCCAGCUAGCGAUCCGCCGACGUUCCUCCGAUGACUCGGCGGGCAGCUUCCGGGAAACCAAAGCUUUUGGGUUCCGGGGGAAGUAUGGUUGCAAAGCUGAAACUUAAAGGAAUUGACGGAAGGGCACCACCAGGAGUGGAGCCUGCGGCUUAAUUUGACUCAACACGGGAAACCUCACCAGGCCCGGACACCGGAAGGAUUGACAGAUUGAGAGCUCUUUCUUGAUUCGGUGGGUGGUGGUGCAUGGCCGUUCUUAGUUGGUGGAGCGAUUUGUCUGGUUAAUUCCGAUAACGAACGAGACUCUAGCCUGCUAACUAGGCGCAUUUACGACAUCUCAAAGGCCCGCCGGUCCGGCGCUCUCGCGUCGCGUCCGCGCGCGGUUUUUACUGUCGGCGUACAAUCAAUUCUUCUUAGAGGGACAGGCGGCUUCUAGCCGCACGAGAUUGAGCAAUAACAGGUCUGUGAUGCCCUUAGAUGUUCUGGGCCGCACGCGCGCUACACUGAAGGAAUCAGCGUGUCCUCCCUGGCCGAGAGGCCCGGGUAACCCGCUGAACCUCCUUCGUGCUAGGGAUUGGGGCUUGCAAUUGUUCCCCAUGAACGAGGAAUUCCCAGUAAGCGCGAGUCAUAAGCUCGCGUUGAUUACGUCCCUGCCCUUUGUACACACCGCCCGUCGCUACUACCGAUUGAAUGAUUUAGUGAGGUCUUCGGACCGGUACGCGGCGGCGCUUGCGCGUCGCCGAUGUUGCUGGGAAGAUGACCAAA
rnacentral:rRNA from 1 species